rnacentral:rRNA from 1 species
GACGUAGGGCGCGAGCGUUGUCCGGAUUUAUUGGGCGUAAAGAGCUCGUAGGCGGCUUGUUGCGUCGGCUGUGAAAAACCCGCGGCUUAACCGUGGGCUUGCAGCCGAUACGGGCAGGCUAGAGUUCGGUAGGGGAGACUGGAAUUCCUGGUGUAGCGGUGAAAUGCGCAGAUAUCAGGAGGAACACCGAUGGCGAAGGCAGGUCUCUGGGCAUUAACUGACGCUGAGGAGCGAAAGCAUGGGGAGCGAACAGG